rnacentral:rRNA from 1 species
AUAUCAAUAAGCGGAGGAAAAGAAACCAACAGGGAUUGCCCUAGUAACGGCGAGUGAAGCGGCAACAGCUCAAAUUUGAAAUCUGGCUUCGGCCCGAGUUGUAAUUUGCAGAGGAUGUUUCUGGCGCGGUGCCUUCCGAGUUCCCUGGAACGGGACGCCACAGAGGGUGAGAGCCCCGUAUGGUUGGACACCAAGCCUGUGUGAAACUCCUUCAACGAGUCGAGUAGUUUGGGAAUGCUGCCCUAAAUGGGAGGUAAAUCUCUUCUAGAGCUAAAUACCGGCCAGAGACCGAUAGCGCACAAGUAGAGUGAUCGAAAGAUGAAAAGCACCUUGAAAAGGGGGUUAAAUAGUAC